ACGGCUCAGUAACACGUCGAUAACGUACCGUGAAGUUCGGAAUAACCUUGGGAAACUGAGGAUAAUACCGAAUAGGGAACACCGUGUGGAAUCCUGUUGUUCCAGAAAGCUUCGGCAGCUUCACGAUCGGUCGGCGGCCCAUCAGGUAGUUGGUGAGGUAAUGGCUCACCAAGCCUAAGACGGGUAGGGGCCUUGAGAGAGGUUGCCCCGAGAAGGACACUGAGAUACUGGUCCUAGCCCUAAGGGGUGCAGCAGUCGCGAAAACUUCGCAAUGCGCGAAAGCGUGACGAGGGGAUUCUGAGUGCUUACGGUUUAUCCGUAGGCUUUUCGUUAGGGCAAAUCCUAGCGGAAUAAAGUGGUGGGCAAGACUGGUGCCAGCCGCCGCGGUAACCCCAGCGCCACAAGUGGGAACCACGCUUAUUGGGUCUAAAGCAUCCGUAGCCGGUUCUGCAAAUGCCCUGUGAAAUCGUUGCGCUCAACGUAACGACGUGCAGGGUAGACUUACAGAACUAGGGACCAGAGGAAGUAGACGGUAUUCCUGAGGGAGCGGUAAAAUGUGAUAAUCUCAGGAGGACCACCGAUGGCGAAGGCAGUCUACUAAUAUGGAUCCGACGGUGAGGGAUGAAAGCUAGGGGAGCGAUCCGGAUUAGAUACCCGAGUAGUCCUAGCCGUAAACGCUGCAUGCCAGAUGUUACACAAUCUUCGAGAUUGUGUAGUGUCGAAACGAAGGUGUUAAGCAUGCCGCCUGGGAAGUACGGUCGCAAGGCUGAAACUUAAAGGAAUUGGCGGGGGAGCAC
rnacentral:rRNA from 1 species